rnacentral:rRNA from 1 species
UACGUAGGGUCCGAGCGUUGUCCGGAAUUACUGGGCGUAAAGGGCUCGUAGGCGGCCAACUAAGUCAUACGUGAAAUCCCUCGGCUUAACCGGGGAACUGCGUCUGAUACUGGAUAGCUAGAGUUCGGCAGAGGGAAGCGGAAUUUCCGGUGUAGCGGUGAAAUGCGUAGAUAUCGGAAGGAACAUCAGUGGCGAAAGCGGCUUCCUGGACCAGAACUGACGUCAGGCUCGAAAGCGUGGGGAGCAAACAGG